rnacentral:pre_miRNA from 1 species
CAUCUACUCCCUUCAUUCAGAAAUACUUGUUCUACAAAUGGUUGUAUCUAGACUUGUUUUAAUUCUAGAUAUAAUCAUUUUUAAGACAAGUGUUUCUGAACGGAGGGAGUACUUC